GAGUGGUCUAAGGCAGGGGAGAGUUCAGCUGAGCUGCCUGCAUGGAUGUCAGGACCUGGGCACCGAGGGCCGAUCACCGCAAGGCCCUGGUUAUUUUUUGAUUCCUAAUUUGAAAGAAAAGGGGAGAGGAGAGACAAAGUUAGGCUGUAAAGAGGUGAGAGGCCCUGCCUGGGGUUGCAGGAUGGCUAGUGGAUGAGCCAGAACUAAACCCCAGUCCCAGAAUGGCCAGUUCUUUCUGCUGCACGGAAUCGAGGCUGGACUGUGGAUGUGGACUCACCUGGGCUCUAUUCUUCACUCUGCCAUUUCCUGGUGAUGUGACUGCGGAUGGGCAUCUUAACCUCACUGGGCCUCAGUUUCCUGAUCUGUAAAAUGAGGAUAAUUUUCUUUGGAUUGUUGUGAUGUUUCAGUGAUAUAAUGCAAGUAAAAAGCAUUUAGCACAGUGUAUCACACAA